rnacentral:rRNA from 1 species
AUUGAACGCUGGCGGCAUGCUUUACACAUGCAAGUCGAACGGUAACAGGCCUUCGGGUGCUGACGAGUGGCGAACGGGUGAGUAAUGCAUCGGAACGUGCCCAGAGGUGGGGGAUAACGCAGCGAAAGCUGUGCUAAUACCGCAUGUGAUCUGAGGAUGAAAGCGGGGGACUAUGCAGCUAAGUUUGGCCUCGCGACUUUGGAGAGGCCGAUGUGCGUUUAGGUAGCUGGUGGGGUAAAGGCACACAAAGCAAGCGAUCUGUACCUGGUCUGAGAGGAAGACCACCCACACGGGAACUAGGACACGCCCCAGACCCCUAGGGGAGGCACAGGAGGGAAUUUUUGGCCAAUGAGCACAGGCUUGAUCCAGCAAGGCCGGUUGCUGGAAGAAGGCUUUCGGGUUUUAAACCGCUUUUGUACGGAACGAAAAGGCUGUGGCUAAUACCUGGAGCUGAUGACGGUACCGUAAGAAUAAGCACCGGCUAACUACGUG